UGAGGGAAUAUUUGGGGUCAAUGGACGGAAGUCUGAACCAGCCAAGUAGCGUGCAGGAUGACGGCCCUAUGGGUUGUAAACUGCUUUUAUGUGGGAAUAAAGUGAGGGACGUGUCCCCUUUUGUAGGUACCACAUGAAUAAGGACCGGCUAAUUCCGUGCCAGCAGCCGCGGUAAUACGGAAGGUCCGGGCGUUAUCCGGAUUUAUUGGGUUUAAAGGGAGCGUAGGCCGUCUUUUAAGCGUGUUGUGAAAUACUGUCGCUCAACGGCAGAGGUGCAGCGCGAACUGGGAGACUUGAGUGCGCGGAAUGCAGGCGGAAUUCGUCGUGUAGCGGUGAAAUGCUUAGAUAUGACGCAGAACUCCGAUUGCGAAGGCAGCUUUCCAGCGCGCUACUGACGCUGAGGCACGAAAGCGUGGGGAUCGAACAGGAUUAGAUACCCUGGUAGU
rnacentral:rRNA from 1 species